AUUUGGUUUAGUUAGGAGGCACAGAUUGAAUCAAAAGGCCUUUUGAGGGGAAUCUUUGAUUUCUUUUAUCAAUUCUCCCCCAAGCAGCCUCUUACAGUU
rfam:Citrus clementina cultivar Clemenules unplaced genomic scaffold scaffold_3, whole genome shotgun sequence.